rnacentral:rRNA from 1 species
AACACAUGCAAGUCGAGGGGCAGCAUGGUCUUAGCUUGCUAAGGCCGAUGGCGACCGGCGCACGGGUGAGUAACACGUAUCCAACCUGCCGUCUACUCUUGAACAGCCUUCUGAAAGGAAGAUUAAUACAAGAUGGCAUCAUGAGUCCGCAUGUUCACAUGAUUAAAGGUAUUCCGGUAGACGAUGGGGAUGCGUUCCAUUAGAUAGUAGGCGGGGUAACGGCCCACCUAGUCUUCGAUGGAUAGGGGUUCUGAGAGGAAGGUCCCCCACAUUGGAACUGAGACACGGUCCAAACUCCUACGGGAGGCAGCAGUGAGGAAUAUUGGUCAAUGGGCGAGAGCCUGAACCAGCCAAGUAGCGUGAAGGAUGACUGCCCUAUGGGUUGUAAACUUCUUUUAUAAAGGAAUAAAGUCGGGUAUGGAUACCCGUUUGCAUGUACUUUAUGAAUAAGGAUCGGCUAACUCCGUGCCAGCAGCCGCGGUAAUACGGAGGAUCCGAGCGUUAUCCGGAUUUAUUGGGUUUAAAGGGAGCGUAGAUGGAUGUUUAAGUCAGUUGUGAAAGUUUGCGGCUCAACCGUAAAAUUGCAGUUGAUACUGGAUAUCUUGAGUGCAGUUGAGGCAGGCGGAAUUCGUGGUGUAGCGGUGAAAUGCUUAGAUAUCACGAAGACUCCGAUUGCGAAGGCAGCCUGCUAAGCUGCAACUGAC